rnacentral:tRNA from 1 species
AGGGGCGUAGCAUAAUGGCAGCGCAUCGGGUUUUGAUCCCGUAAGUAUGAGUUCGAUCCUCAUCGCCCUUA